rnacentral:rRNA from 1 species
AGUCACUGACCAUUAGAUACCCGUGUAGUCCCAGCCGUAAACUAUGCUCGCUAGGUGUCAGGCAUGGCGCGACCGUGUCUGGUGCCGCAGGGAAGCCGUGAAGCGAGCCACCUGGGAAGUACGGCCGCAAGGCUGAAACUUAAAGGAAUUGGCGGGGGAGCACAACAACGGGUGGAGCCUGCGGUUUAAUUGGACUCAACGCCGGACAACUCACCGGGGACGACAGCAAUAUGUAGGCCAGGCUGAAGACCUUGCCUGAAUCGCUG